rnacentral:rRNA from 1 species
CACAACUCACCUGCCGAAUGGAUUAGCCCUGGAAAUGGAUGGCGCUGAAGCGGACAGCCGAUACCACCCCGUCUGUUAUAGUGACUGGAACAGAUGAGUAGGAGGGAGUGGAGGUCGUAUCGAAGCAUGCGUGGGAACGUGUGUGGAACGGCCUCUCGUGCAGAUCUUGGUGGUAGUAGCAAAUAUUCAAGCGAGAUCCUUGAAGGGCGAAGCGGGGAAGGGUUCCACGCGAACAUUGAUUGGGCGUGGGUGAGUCGUUCCUAAGCCGCGUGGUAAUAGCUAUCAAACGGCGAAAGGGAAGCGGGUUGAAAUUCCCGCACACGGAUGUGGAGGCGGCGACGCUUUAUUGAGACGAGCCCGUCGGCGGUUGCACUGGGCAGAGAUGUCUUUUCUGUUUAACCAGCUCGCGCGCUGUGUGGAAUCCGAUUAUCGGGAGAAACACGCGUACCGGGAAAGAGCGCCCGGACUUUUCCGGCGUCCAGCUCGCGAACGACGGCCCUUGAAAACUUGUCUACUGCAAUAAAAUCCAGGCCGUGGCGUACCGAUAACCGCAUCAGGUCCCCAAGGUGAACAGCCUCUGCCUAAUAUGAACAA